AAGUACGGUUGGGAGCCUACCAGAAGGACGAAGAAACCCAGUCACCGACCAGGCCAACAAGGAUGGUGAGAGUGAAACGAGUAGGGAGUGUAGUAUCGGUACAGUACCGUAGUAUCGUUCUUCCGAGUGUCAUUACCAAUUCCCUGGCGGUCACUCGGCGAUCGUCUAGUCACCCUGUGCGUCGAACACGCCGAAAAUUCUACCUUCCGCGCGGACGUGUUAUCAGAGAGCGCGGCGACUGGCCACCGAAGGAAGGUUCGUUCGGUGACUCGAAUCGAGCAUGUGAAUCCGCGCGGCAGACGUCGCGAUCCGAUCUGUAACGACCUGACACAAGGAAGCUCGAUAGAUUCGAUGAGAAACGUUCGUCGAAGGGAUAAACGACCGAGUCGAAGGGCCAAGCUCUCCAUGAACCACCUGGCAAGAGCACCCCAGGCACAAUGAAGAGCAUAAACUUCUACGCAGUGCAUAGGAUCGAGAAAAUCGGCACGCGACCGCCGGACAUUCUCCCACAUUGAAACUCAGAAACCUACGCGUGAGAUGACAUACCAUCGAAACGAAGCAUUGGGAGCUCAAGAAAUUAAUUCGAGGGCGCUAAGGAAAUUCCAAUUAGAGAAAAAUGGUGUUCAGCACCAUAGUAGUGACGUCGGCCCUGAAGGGUGCUUUGGGUCUGAUGGGUACCAGCCUAUGGCUGAUCCCUCUGCUGAUAGCAGGCCUGUCUUACUAUCGCUACGACCAACUGGACCCAGAGAGUCGACCUAUAGACAGAUACCCUCUGUACCCUGAAUACGACUUCAUAGUGAUCGGUGGAGGAUCAGCCGGGGCAGUAGUCGCUAGUAGACUCUCAGAAAUACCAGACUGGAACGUUCUACUGCUCGAGGCCGGUCCAGAUGAGAACGAGGUGACCGAUGUGCCUUCGUUGGCAGCCUAUUUGCAACUGACGAAGCUGGACUGGAAGUAUAAAACCGAGCCCACGGGGAAAGCUUGUCUGGCGAUGAAGGGCGGCCGUUGCAACUGGCCACGAGGAAAGGUUCUAGGUGGCUCGAGCGUCCUCAACUACAUGCUCUACGUACGUGGGAACAGGCACGAUUACGAUUACUGGGAGUCUCUAGGUAAUCCAGGGUGGGGGUACGAUCAGGCGCUUUACUACUUCAAGAAAUCCGAGGACAACCGGAAUCCGUACUUGCAGAAGAGUCCUUAUCACUCCACGGGCGGUUACCUGACUGUCCAGGAGUCACCGUGGAGAACGCCGCUGGUGGUGGCUUUCGUUCAGGCUGGGGUGGAGAUGGGCUACGAGAACAGGGAUAUAAACGGCGAACGGCAGACAGGGUUCAUGAUAGCCCAGGGGACGAUUCGCAGGGGCAGCAGGUGCUCCACGGCGAAGGCGUUCCUGCGACCCGUCAGGCUGCGUAGGAACAUCCACACGGCAAUGAACUCGCAGGUGACCAGGAUCCUAAUCGACUCGAUAACGAUGCGAGCGACUGGCGUGGAAUUCGUCAGGGACGGUCGUCGGCAGAUCGUCAGAGCGCGAAAGGAAGUGAUACUUUCCGCUGGAGCUAUCAACAGCCCCCAAAUCCUGAUGCUCUCAGGAAUAGGUCCCAAGGAGCACCUGCGCCACGUUGGAAUCCCAGUCCUCAAGGAUCUCCGCGUCGGCGACAACCUCCAAGACCACGUGGGCAUGGGUGGCUUGACUUUUCUCGUCGACAAACCAGUGGCCAUCGUCCAGGACCGUUUCCAAGCUGCUCCUAUGACCAUGCACUACGUGGCCAACGGAAGAGGCCCCAUGACCACCCUAGGUGGCGUCGAGGGCUACGCCUUCGUCAAUACUAAAUACGCUAAUCGAUCCAUGGACUACCCAGACAUUCAGUUCCACAUGGCUCCAGCGUCGAUAAACUCGGACGCUGGAAUCCAGGUUAGGAAGGUUCUGGGGAUCACUGACGAAGUUUACAACACCGUGUACAGGCCAAUAGCGAAUAAAGACGCCUGGACUAUAAUACCUCUUCUCCUGAGACCGAGAUCUCGCGGCACGGUCAGGCUACGAAGCUCGAAUCCCUUUCACAGUCCUCUGAUCAACGCCAAUUACUUUUCCGAUCCAUUGGACAUCGCCACCUUGGUGGAGGGUGCAAAAAUAGCGAUGCGCGUCAGCGAGGCGAAGGUUUUCAAACAAUUCGGCUCGAGGAUCCAUCGCAUCAAGCUGCCAGGGUGCAAGCAUUUGAAAUUUGCCUCGGACGCCUACUGGGAGUGCCACAUCCGACACAUCUCGAUGACGAUCUAUCAUCCCGUUGGAACGACGAAGAUGGGACCACCUAGCGAUCCCUACGCUGUCGUUGAUUCCAAAUUGAGAGUUUACGGUGUGGAGGGACUGAGGGUGAUCGACGCCGCCAUCAUGCCCACGAUUUCCAGUGGUAACACGAACGCGCCGGUUAUCAUGAUAGGGGAGAAAGGGGCUGAUAUUGUGAAAAACGAUUGGCUGGCUGCGGAGAAUGCGAGGAGUGAACGAAUUAGACGUUUUCGUGACGAAAAGUGAAAAUAGUGGAGAUUGGAUUCAUUGUUGUGGUUGAUCUUUCACUUCGGAAUUAAAUGUUUGCUAGUUGUUUAGUUGAACGGUAAUUCUUCGUUUCGAGGCCUAAUUGUUGGGUGAUUUCAUUCUCGGCUUUUUAUUUUCAAAACUGAUGUAAAAAUUUUUCAAUCUAACGGGAUCCUAUUAUUUUUGUCAUUAGCUGUCUGCUGAAGGAAUGCAUGGAAAUAAAUACGAGUCAAAGAUUACUUUAAAUUUUUUAAUGGUGUCUCAUAAUAAAUUAAUUUUUAGUGGUGAACAGUAUCUAAUAAUUCUUCUUGCUUGACUUCUAACCGAAGCAGAAUGAAAUGUGACGAAAGACGAAGGAUUGUUAACUUUGAAACGAGGAAAUACUGUGUGUUGUUGACAUGUAGAUCAAACAUCUGUGCGACGUGAAUGAAAUAAUGUUUGCACACCCUACAUUGUGAUAUGUUGACUGUACAUGCAUAGCGUAUAUAAAAACUGAAGUUUUGUUAACCUAAUUAUAGCGUAGUUUAGGUGACCUCAGUUGUUGAAUCGAUGACAACAUCUAUAUUCCAGUAGUUUGUUAUAAUUUAACGAAGAUUUUUUAAGAAAGAAACUAGGCAUCGAAUACUAAUGAGACGUGAAUAAAGAGUCGUGUACAAAAUAUAUGAUACGAUACUCAAUAUUUAAUUGUUAGUCACUCACUGGAAAAGUGUCUGUUGUAUAGAAAUUACACCGGCAAUGAGCUAAUUAAUGCACAUUUGUACCUAAAUAAUGGUUUCAAAAACACCUUCUUGUUGCGAUUGAUUUUUAAUAAAGAACGGAAGGUACUUUUAACAAAGGGACAAUCAGUUAAACAAUUAACGUUAGUUCGGCUAACAAAGACCCUCAUACAAUGAUACAAAAGUUAGGUGAUGAUAUUGUGCUCACCUAAUAAAACACCCUUCAAAAUGUAAUAUAGAAAAGCCAUUUACAUUUACAGAGCCCAUCGCUAAUACGCAUUCAAAUCACAUGUAAAUCUAACUUUUGUAUCACUGUAUGACGGUCCCUUGUGACAUGGGUCUCGUCUACGUGCCAUACUUCGUUGCGUAAUUUCCACAUUGCAAACCUUAAUUAACUAUCGCACGCUGUGCUCGUUUAGGAAACGUAGGAAACGUUUGAUCCUGUUACCUCAUUGUAUGCUCUUAAAAAUAAACGAUUUGCGAAAGACAAUCAAACCUUUGUCGAAUUAAAUCUGCCGGAAACAACUUAAUUUUUAGUUAAGAUAAAAGAAAGAUAUGAACGAGAUAAAAUUAUUUUAAGAGUAAACGUUACACGAAAGAACAAAUACAAUAACUUCCCUAUAAAUCGGGAAGUUAAUAAUACGAUUUCAUUAGAUCAAAAUGUUUAUUUGGAAAACAUUUUACGUAAAUACAAUGCGAUUGAUUGUAAUAGUUUAAAUAUUCCAUUGCCUGCUAAGUUGGACUUUAAUGCUUUAAAUUAAAUAUUCAAAAUAAAAAUAGCAAAGAACUAUAGAAAAAUUUGAAGAAAGUUUUGAAAUACGCAAAAGGAUCAUUAAAACUUCGACUAGUGUAGAAACGAAAUAAUAAUGAUCAAAAUCUGCUGAAUGGCUACGUAGAUUCCGAUGGGGCAGGAUAUGAAAUCGAUCGGAAAACUACAACUGGCUAUGUAUGUAUUUAAAUUGUGUGAUUGUUAUACGAUUCGUGGAAUACAAAAAGACAAUAUUCACUUGCAACUACCUCUACUGGAGCUGAAUAUACGGCAUUAUAUGAAGCAACUAAAGAAGCACGCUGGCUUAGCACGCUUUUACAGAGUAUACAAGUAAAUCUUAAGGAGCCAAUAAUUAUUUUCGAGGAUAAUAAUGGUUGCAUAACCAUUGCAAAUAAUCUAACAGACCAUAAACGAUCAAAGCAUAUGGACGUAAAAUAUCGUUUUACACGAGAAAAAGUGUAAGAAAAAUUGAUAAUACCUAAAUAUAUUUCCACAGAUAAACAAUUAGCAGACACAUUCACAAAGUCAUUGUCGAAGGUCUAAUUCUCGUACAUUCGAAGGCAAAUGGGAUUUAAAGAACAUGCAUAAAACAUUAAAACCUUAUUAAAAUUCAAAAUUCAAUGCAUUAACUCGUACCAAAUUUUUCUUUUAGUUUCACUUUUCUCUCUCAUUAUUUUUUUGUACUUAAAUCCAUUGCAUCGUCCGCGGUUACGCAGAUCUGGCUGAGUUUUUUCUGGGUUUUCCCCAAUCCAUUGCAACAAAUGUUGGACCAUUUAUGUAUCACCCAAUAUCGAACAAAAACAGUGUUCUCUCUUGUGCUUGUUAAUUGUGGAUCAAUUGUUGAGUGGGAGUAUAGAAACGAACAUAAACUACAUGUAUAUACAAAAAUCGAUCGCUCCAGGGUCAAUCACAUACACGUGUAACAACAGCAUCAGUGUAAAACACUAUCGAUAAACCAGUUCGGUUCACUCCGAGUUAAGGUCUAUUAACACAUAUCCGUAACGUAUUAGUUCCGUAUCCGUACCGUAUCAGUAACGUCUCGGAGCGGUGUCGGAUGUGUGCGAAUAUGUCCAUUAAAACACAAAACAGAAGAAUAUUUAAAAUC